GGCCUUUAGUCGUUUCUGCUACCUGUUUGUUUUCAAGAAAAUGGCAUGGCCUCAAGCUAGUUCCUACUGUGGCAAAUACGGUGGUACUCUUGCAAGGGUGCUCGACAAGGGUACAAAUGUUUUUAUUGCAACUAAUAUUCGAUCAAUGACAUGGAUUGGUCUCAAUGACAUCAAGGACCCGACAGAUUACAUUUGGGAGUUAAUUAUUACGUUGGAAUAGCCACCUUAUUACGCUGGAAUUCAGUCACGUCGCGGAGUCAUUACGAUGUCAAAUCGAAAUUCAAAUUCAUUAUUUGCGAACAUACCAAAAAGGCUACAGAGCAAAAAAUCU